rnacentral:rRNA from 1 species
UACAGAGGGUGCAAGCGUUGUUCGGAAUUAUUGGGCGUAAAGCGCGUGUAGGCGGCUUUGCAAGUCGGGUGUGAAAGCCCUCAGCUCAACUGAGGAAGUGCGCCCGAAACUGCUUUGCUUGAGUGCUGGAGAGGGUCGCGGAAUUCCCCAAGUAGAGGUGAAAUUCGUAGAUAUGGGGAGGAACACCGGUGGCGAAGGCGGCGACCUGGACAGUAACUGACGCUGAGACGCGAAAGCGUGGGUAGCAAACAGG